GCAGUGGUGGUUCAGCAGUAGAAUUCUCACCUUCCUUGCUGGGAGCCUGGGUUCAAUUCCUGGCCAGUGCA
rnacentral:tRNA from 1 species